UGAUCUAUCUGUUGUAUUUUUUUCUCACAACCAUUCCUGCAUAAAAAGAAUCGUUUCUAUCAUUAGGUCUUGUACUAGUUAGAUAUGUAGCACCCUGGUUUUUGUUUCAAAUUGCUGCCUCUUAUUGAAUACUCUUAUCAUUUGUGCCAUUCUUCAGCUGAUCCUAUUUGCACUGGGAAAAGACCCUGUUGUAGGGAGCCUCUGAGGAUGUUGAUCUCUUCGGUGAAGCACUAUUCAGUGAUCCUGGCUGACAGAGACUUGAGAAACGCCAACGACGGCCAGACAGAUCACGAAGUUCGAGUUCCACGGAAGGAGGAAUAGCGUAUGAUCCACUUGAAGAAAUGCAAUGGGAUUGGUUUGGCGGGAGUCCUGACAAUGGGGGAGUGGCCAGAGCUUGAAGUCAUCAUGUGUGUUGGGCAUCAAGGAAUAUGCCGCUGAAGAGCGGUGGUAGAAACCCGGCUGGAUCCCUCACAGCAAGCGGAGAAAGCAUUCCUUUCUCCCCUCUCAGGUGUGGGGAUGAGCGUGCCGCGAGACCUGAUGCACGCUCGGAUCAAACAUCUUUGGAAAAGUACAGGCUUCUGUAGCUCUGAUUUUAGAGUGACUCCUUUUCUCCCUAGAGAAAUUUACUUCGGUACCUGCCAAUCACACGCUGUCUACAAGAGCAGUGCUAGUUCCUUAGGUGCUGCUGCUCGCCGCACCACUGUUCUCUGCAAGAAGGAACAGCCUUGGAACUUGUUUGCAAAACCCUGUUGCUGGUUUCCCCAAGGUAGAGGAUUGGGGCACGAGGGGUAAAUGCUGGAGGCCUUGAAUGUGUCUUUGCUUCCUUCUUCGGAGCCAGAGACAGUCUGGAAAUGAAUAUCUUUUUUAUGUGGAGUCAAGUUCAAAACAACAUGCCAGGUACCCAAUUUACACCUGUGGGGAAAAGAAGAAACUUCAAUGAGAGCUAAUUGAAUAGUUUUUGCCCUCGUAGCAGGCACUUGUUUCCGCUAGUGGAGAGAAGGCCCCUGGAGAACCAAGGAUCCAGUGACCCCAAUUUCCCUGGGAAUGCCUGCAUUCUGGAGAAGCCCAGGAUUUCCGAGGAAGUGCUUCUGCUUGCCGAACAUGUGGCCUCUAUGCGAGAUGAGCAAUUGGUCCCUGCGCUCUCAGUGGCUGUCUCCUGUAGGACUUCUGCCAACUGCUGGAGAGAGAGCAGUGGCUGUGAGGUGAUCCCCAACUGUCGAGUCCCGCUGUUGUGUGACUCUUCCCUGGGGAGACGUGAGUGAAUGCCUCUUCUUCCUGUAGAGCAAUGGGUGACAGACCAAAACAAGUAUUCCACCAAGGUCCACCUUGGUAAAGCAAUGGCUUUCUCAGGCUCCCUUCCAGAGCCUGGCGAGGGGUUUCUGAGGGGAGUGUGGACCACUCAAGAACACCAGAGUGAUGACUUAUGGUGAUUGCCCUGUCGGAACUUCCCCAUUAAACCUGGCAGCUUGGCCAGGGCAUCCUUCUCCUGGCAGCUGUUGCUGCUUGUACAGCCUGUAGGAGGGACUUUGUAGCUCUCCGGUUUCAGGAACUUCCUGAGCCUUGUGAGGUCUCUUUCCUUCCCUAAUCCCAGUGAGCCUCCUGAAGGAUGGGAUGCUUUAUGUCUCAACCCAGAGGGAGUUGCUCAACACAAGAUCUCUUCUGAGGGAACCCAAACCUGACAGAUCCAGGCGCACUUGCCCCUGAGGGUCUGGAAGGCUGUUCUGAGCAGGAACUGCAUGAGCCACAGUGGAGCAGGACGGACUUGUUCGGGGAUGUACAUAAAGAAUGCCCUAGGUCAGGAGAAACGAGGUCUCCCACUGGUGACAGGGGCAUGAGCUGAUCUUGAAUUUAAUUUAAAAUUUGUUCUGGAUGGGCACCGGGGGAAUAGCUUGGUGGUAAAGUGCUAGGCACUCAGGCCUCAAGGCCCUGAAUUUCAAGCCCUAAACCUCAAACAAACAAACAAAAAACAAAUAAACAAAACCAACA